rnacentral:rRNA from 1 species
GACAGAGGGUGCAAGCGUUGUUCGGAAUUAUUGGGCGUAAAGGGUGCGUAGGCGGGCACGCGAGUCAGGGGUGAAAUCCCACGGCCCAACCAUGGAAAGUGCCUCUGAUACCGCGAGUCUCGAGGGGGAUAGGGGCGUGCGGAACUUCCGGUGGAGCGGUGAAAUGCGUAGAUAUCGGAAGGAACACCGGUGGCGAAAGCGGCGACGCUGGAUCCCUACUGA